CCUACAACCCUGACCUUAGGGAGGCUUUUUCUUCAUUUAGGUUCCCUCCUCUCAGAUGCCUUUCGCUUUUGUCAAGCUGAUGUAAAACUAUCCAGCACAGUGCUAUGUGACCAGCUGCCUCACACUUCUGCAGUCGGGCUACAUUAAACCUUCAAAUGAAAGCUGUCAGAAAUAGUCAAGAAUGCGGAAGCAGGCCAAACAGAGGGCUGAGGAGAGCAAACAGGUGUUUACAGUAAAAAAGAAAAAAGAAAAAAAAUCACCUGACUUCCUGGCCCCUUCCUCAGAAGCAGCUGCAGUAACUGAUUUCGGCACAGUUUGCGCAUGGGCUUCUCACUUGGCAUGUUGUUGACUUCUAGACUCACUGUGCUGUGGUUCGUUGAGUGUGAUCUGAAGAUUCUCUGGAAGCUGCUGGAGCUUUGAGGCCAACACACAGCUUCUGUACCUGUUCCAAGAAUAACUGACAAGAACACAUCAAAGCUCUUUCUCUACGCUACAAAGUUAAGCUCAUGAUUUUUCUGAUCCCUUCCAUAGUAUUCAGACAAAUGAUCCACCUGCUCAGUGGGACCCCUGUCCUGAAGCUUCCUCUUCAGCUCAGGUCUUGGUCACCUC